UACGAAGGGGGCUAGCGUUGCUCGGAAUGACUGGGCGUAAAGGGCGCGUAGGCGGACGGGUUAGUCAGAUGUGAAAGUCCUGGGCUUAACCUGGGGACUGCGCUUGAAACGGGUUGUCAUGAGUAGGGAAGAGGGUCGUGGAAUUCCCAGUGUAGAGGUGAAAUUCGUAGAUAUUGGGAAGAACACCGGUGGCGAAGGCGGUGACCUGGUCCUUGACUGACGCUGAGGCGCGAAAGCGUGGGGAGCAAACGGG
rnacentral:rRNA from 1 species